CGAAUGUGAAUAUGACCAAAAGACUAUCGUAAGCUUCUUCAAGGAAGGAGAUUCACUGCACCCUACUUUAACUGACGUAAUAGUAUUCACAUCUACUCCAGACAAAGUUAACAACAAAUAUUACUUGGGACCUGCCCCUCUGGAUGACAUGGCCUGGCAAAUAGCAACUGCUUAUGGUCCUUGCGGAAACAACAGAGACUACCUUUUCCUUCUA